GUCUAUGGCCAUUCCACCCUGAACAUGCCCCGUUCCACUUGAUCUUGGCAGCUAAGCAGGGUUGGGCCAGUUAGUACUUGGAUGGGAGAAGACACCCCACAGUCU
rnacentral:rRNA from 1 species